UAAAAAGAUAAAAAGAUAAAGUGUAUGGGAGGAUAUGCAUGGGUUACGUGCAAAUACUAUGUGGAUUUUGGUAUCCAUGUUAGGGGGUGGGUUGGGGUGGUGGUUGCCCUAGAUCCAAUCCCCAGUGGAAAGAGCGGGAAGCCUGUACAGGGAAAGGUGAAGAAUUGGUGCCAUUUUUGCAAUCCACAGGGAAAUGUCUAAAAGGAGCCUCUGUCUACGACAGACAUCCAAGUCCAAGUUCUUUCUGUCUAUAUUCAACACCACCUGGGACACUGGCCAAAGGAGAUUUUUUUUUUUUCCCCCCCAGAAUGGGCCUCUGUCCAAAUUCAGUGGUAUCACUAGAAUAUCAGGUUCAUGAGAACAGGGACUUCUGUCUGUUUUGUUCACUGUGUAGCCCCACUGUCUAGAACAGUGCCUGAUACAUAACAGGUGCUUGACAAAUGGUGGUUGGAGUUCCACUGUGGCACAACGGGAUUGGCAACAUCUCUGGAGCGUUGGGACCCAUGUUCAAUCUGGGCACAAUGGGAUCUGGUGCUGCCAUGGGGUAGCUUGCAACUGCAGCUUGGAUCUGAUCCCUGGCCUGGGAACUCUAUGAGCCGCAGGGCAGCCAAAACAAACAAAUAAACAAACAAAACCAAAUAGUGGUUGAAUGAAAAUUGCCUUGUGAACUCACCUUAUGUGUCUAACCAAAGUUCUUCCCUUUUAUGGGGAAGCUGUGUGCUCUGGAGGAAAGGACUUUGGAGACCAAUCAACCUGGGUUUGAAUCUGGGCUUCAUCUUUAUUACCAGCAACCUUGGGCACAUUAUCCAGUCUUCCCAAAGCCUCAUUUCCUGAAAACCUUUUGGAUGACUUCUCCGUGUAGCCUCCCCAUUUUCCAGAAUGGGUCUCUGUCCAAAUUCAGUGGUAUCACUAGAAUAUCUGGUUCAAUUGUCCCUCUCAUCUUCACAUUUUUCAUGUGAUGGGGUGUCUAUAUUAUGUGACCUUGUCUCCCUCUUCCAACACUGUCUCAACUGAUUGGACCAGGGGUAUGGAACUGAACCAAAAAGGGCCAAUCAGAUUCUCUUCUAUAGGAAUUUGGAAUUCCAGUCUUGUUCUGGUUGGCUUCUUAAAUGGAGGAGAAAGACACUCAGGAGCUAGCUCUGACCAUUUCCCACCAGAGAGAAAUGGUCUUUAGCAGGAGAGAAGAAUAAAACCCUCAUUCCAGAUUAUUUCUUAGGCUCAGCCAGCUAUCAGACAGCUAGGUAAUGAUGGUGUAAUGGUUAAGGCAUAACCUCUGGCUCUAGACUUCCUUGGUUCAGAUUCUGGCUUUAUCACUUACUAGCUGAGUCAUCUGUAAAGUGGGAGCAAUAUUAAUACCUACUUCGUGGGGUUGCCAUAAUGGCUAAAUAAGGUGCAUAGAACAGUCUAAUCCACGGUGAGUACAAAUCCAUGUCCAUGGAUUCCAGGUCACAACCUUUGAUCCUUAAACUUAAUACCCCUUUCCCACACCCACCCCUUUUCAAGAAAAGUGCGCUACAGUGGAUUGUUGAUACCCAUGUAAAGAAGCUGAACUAAUUCCAUUUUCCACCUGUGAAAUGGGGGAAAGUUAAGAAUCUUGAGUUCUUGGGAGGGUUGUGAAGAUUAAAUGAGAUGAGUAACACUUUUGGCACACUGUAGGUACUCAAUAUUUGCGUGUUUUUCAUUCUUCGUUCCUUGCCUUCCUCAGACUCCAACUGGGGCCACGCCGGGGAGCCAGUGCUUCUGGUGUGGGUGGUCUCGGCCACAGCUUGGUUUGGCUCCUUUCCAAGGGUGGAGGAGGACAAGCCCACAACUGGAAGGUUUUCUUCCUCUAGGCUGGCUUCCUUCCCAGCUCCUGCCUUUGAGGUCCCUCCUUUAAGCCCACCCAGCUCGGCACCUGGGCCAAGCCCAGCAAGGGCAGGAGGUAUGGUUGCACGAGUCAAGCAUCUGCCAAGGCCACACGAAGUUCCCCACCUCUCCUUGAAUCCCAAACCUGGGACUGCCUUACUUCCUGUCCUGGAUCUGCCACUGGAACUGGGUAAGUGUCCCCUAGACAUAUCUGCCAAAUAUCCUCCCCACCUCCACCAGCCCAACAUUCCCCAUGUCUGAGUCCACUACGGUAAUUUUAUUUUGGAUCUCUGUCACAGAGACAGCCUGGAAGGAGGUUGGGUUCUAGAAUCACAAAACCUGGGCUUGGAUUCUGGGUCCAUUAUCACUUACUUGCUGUGUGACCUUGAGCUGGUCACCUUCCCUUUCUGAGCCUCAGUUUCCAUACCUGUCAAAGAGGCUAGUGAUCCUCCACCUUGGAGCUGAAAAGACCCAAUAAGAUGACCUAUCUGUAGUCUCUAACUCCUUGUCGAGGUGUGAGAAAUGGCUGCCCUCUGUCCCUUCUCCAUAGAAGGGAAAGGAGAGCUGUAUCCUUACUACUCCUCAACUAAGUCAGCCCUUGCUGAAGAUUUUCAUAAACCUCUUGUCAGCUCAAGAUAUCAGUAUCAUGCUGAGGGCCGCAUGUAGAAACAGGAAAUUGCAGUGGAGCAAGAGGUCGCUGAGACAGAGGACUUGGCAGAAGCAGCAAAUUUCAGCAGUGAAGCAUGUGACCCCAGGGGGCAGACUGCUUGGAUUCCAAUUCCAGCUUUUUUUUGGGGGGGAGGGCAGCACCCAUGGCAUAUGGAGGUUCCCAGGCUAAGAGUCUAAUCAGAGCUACGGUUGCCAGCCUAUG